UGGGGAAUUUUGGACAAUGGGGGAAACCCUGAUCCAGCCAUCCCGCGUGUGCUAUGAAGGCCUUCGGGUUGUAAAUCCCUUUUGGCAGGAAAGAAACGUCAUGGGUUAAUACCCCGUGAAACUGCCGGUACCUGCAGAAUAAGCACCGGCUAACUACGUGCCAGCAGCCGCGGUAAUACGUAGGUUGCAAGCGUUAAUCGGAAUUACUGGGCGUAAAGCGUGCGCAGGCGGUUCGGAAAGAAAGAUGUGAAAUCCCAGAGCUCAACUUUGGAACUGCAUUUUUAACUACCGGGCUAAAGUGUGUAAGAGGGAGGUGGAAUUCCGCGUGUAGCAGUGAAAUGCGUAGAUAUGCGGAGGAACACCGAUGGCGAAGGCAGCCUCCUGGGAUAACACUGACGCUAAUGCACGAAAGCGUGGGGAGCAAACAGG
rnacentral:rRNA from 1 species